CAAACCAAAUGGAUGCCUCGGAUCUCAAUGGAAGCGCCAGACGUAUUCAGCCUGGAUGUUGCUGUACAGCAAACAGAUUUUAAUGAUACCCUGAAACUGAACAGACAGUUACACACAACUUUGCAGAGAAAACAGGACGAGAUAUCUGCACUAAGGGAGAAGAAUUCCCAACUGAAGGAGCUGGCCAAGCAGGCAGAGCGUCUGGCUCUUCUACUAGAUACACUUUCACCGUCACCAGGAGCAGCCAAACAAGCUGAUGCUUGCUCACAGUCAUCAUAUGGUUUGGGUUGUUCACCAACAGAGCUGCAAUCACCCAGCUUAGAUGAACUCCAGUGGGAAUGUACUGCAGUGUAUAACUCACAGCAUGCAGAAGAUUUCUCAUCAGCGCUCCCACACCUAAUACCUCACGGGGUUCCCUCUGACUCUGCCCAAUGCCCAAAUCCUGGGCCUGCAAGCCCAUACGCUGGAGUGAAAAGAUGUUUAUGGCCCUGUCAGGAUGACUCGGGAUCAGUCAGCGCACACAACAGCAUCACAGAAGAUACAGUGGGUUACCACGGCGACGCCAAAAGGAGGAAAGAC